GUCCUAUUACUGCUGGAUUGUACAAGAUAUAUAGCCCUGUUUUCUUUGAGUCAUGUCUUAACUAUCAAACGUCUUAAGUAAGAAAAGGGAAGCAUUGUAGUUUUUGGAAGUCAGAAUGCCAAGGAGAAAGAGAAAUCUUGGGGGAAGUCCUUUUCGGAAGACUGCAAACUCUAAGGAAGUUACAUCCAGUAUUGCUAGUCAUGAGGAGUCAACCACUACUCUUCCUUCCAUGUAUGAGACAAAAGUUGAUCAGGAAGAACUCUUCACCAGUAUCUCAGAGAUGUUUUCUGAUCUGGAUCCUGAUGUAGUAUAUUUGAUGCUUUCUGAAUGUGAUUUCAAAGUUGAAAAUGCCAUGGAUUGUCUAUUAGAAUUAUCUGCUGCUGAUGCCAAGACAGAAGAAUCAUCUUUAAAAAGCUUAGUUACUUCUGAGACCCAAGGAAGUGCAGCAGGAAGUGAUACAAUGGAAAAGUGUCCUGAUGAAAAUAGGGAGAAUUCAAAACUGGAUUCAUUUUUGGACAUGCAGCUAACUGAAGACUUGGAUUCCUUGAUACAGAAUGCUUUUGAGAAAUUGAACUAUUCUCCCGAUGACCAAGUAUACACAUUUUUGCCUUUGCAAGAGGUUAAUAGUUUUAGUGACUCUGGUGAGUUUAUGAAUUCAGAUUCAAAUAGUAUGAUUCCUGUUCUUUCUACGCAAAAUACAGAUUUGAAAAAUGAAAAUUUAGAGAACUCUGCUUCUACAUUAAGUGCAAACCAUUUAACUUCACAUUCGGUUUUGAAUGAGUCCGAAAGUUUUGUGAGCAAUAACACAUUGUCAAUGGAAGAUGACUGUCCUGAAGAUUCUCUUCUCAGUAGUUCUUUAAAUGUACCAGAUGACUCUGUCGUGGUUUGUAGCAAUCUUGAUCAAAGACAGAAAGAACUCUUAGAAUCUGAGUGUACUGAGGCUCAAUUCUUUCAAGUCCCUGUAGAUUUGGAUGCCAGUGAACCUCAGUCUCCUUUAAAUCUUUCUGCACAAAAUCCAGGGCUUGAUUUACUUGCUGCAGAUGGGGAUCAGAAAUCCAUUUCUGUCCCUGAUGUGUUUGUACCUUCUGAAGUGUUCAGUUUCAAACCACGCAAACAUACUGAACGGCCACCAAAGGGAAAGGAUGUGAAAUACUGUCCAGUACUUACCCCUCUCCCUUUACUGCUGCCUCCUCCUCCACCUCCACCUAUGUGGAAUCCUAUGAUUCCUGCUUUUGACCUCUUUCAAGGAAACCGUGGCUUUGUGACUCCUGUCAUGACCACAGCUGCACACUGGAGACCUGUCAGCUAUACAUUUCCACCCUCUGUUAUUUCUCACACUUCCGCAACAAAGGUAUGGAGAAACAAAGAGGGAACAAGUGCUUAUCACGUACGAGAAACUCCAGUUUCUCAGGCUGUCAGAAAGAAGACAUCUUAUGUUGGACUAGUUCUUGUUCUUCUCAGAGGUCUUCCAGGAUCAGGGAAAUCUUUCUUGGCAAGGACUUUGCAAAAGGAUAAUCCGGCUGGGAUCAUUCUUAGUACUGAUGAUUAUUUUUAUAUAAAUGGACAGUACCAGUUUGAUGUAAAGUACUUAGGAGAAGCACAUGAAUGGAACCAGAAUCGUGCAAAAGAAGCAUUUGAGAGGAAGGUAUCUCCUAUAAUAAUUGAUAAUACAAACCUGCAGGCAUGGGAAAUGAAGCCAUAUGUUGCUUUGUCUCAGAAACAUAAAUAUAAAGUCCUUUUCCGGGAACCAGACACAUGGUGGAAGUUCAAACCAAAGGAACUUGCAAGGCGUAAUAUUCAUGGAGUAAGCAAAGAAAAAAUAGUAAGAAUGUUGGAAAACUAUCAACGUUUUGUUUCAGUGCCAAUAAUCAUGGAUUCUUCAGUUCAAGAGAAAACUGAAUGUAUUGAGUUUUGUGCCUAUUCUUGUGAGGACAGAUUUAUCAGCCCAAAAAACAAUGAAGAUAUUACCUCUAAAAAAGAAGAAAAUGUUUUAUCCUCAUCUUUGAAGCACCUAGAGUUAACUGAAGAGAAGAAACGCGAAGUGACUAAUGAAACUAUGUUACCCGAGAAUAUUGCAUAUCUCUGUAAUGCAGAUUUAAACAAAGGAGAAAAUGAAAUAAGUGGUAGGAAUCAUACCAUUCAGAGUGCUUUCAUUCAGGAAGCUCUAGACAUGUAUUUUUCUGACUCUGAAAGGAAAGUACAAGUAACAGACAAAAGUGAAAAAGAAGAGCAAGUAGAAAUGGCUUCUGAAAAAGAAUGCAAUAAAACCGAUGCAGAUAGUUCUAUAGAGAGAGUAUCAUUGAGUAUUUGCUAUGGUGAAAAUAAUCAAGAAUACUGUGAUCUUGCAAAGAGUAUAUCACUUCAAGAUGAAAAUUCUUUAUCUGGUGAAAUAUUGGAAGAAAGAGCAAUGGUAAGGAAAAAAGCCUUUGGGAAACAAAAAAGCAAAUCAAUUUUGGAAAAGUUCCCAAGACAAGAGCUGUCAAAUUUUGUUGGUGAUUGGCCAGUUGAUAAGACUAUUGGUCAGAGGACAAAAAGGAUCCGAAAAACUGAAAAAACUGCAUGUGUACAAAGUGACAAGAAGCAUAAUCCCCUUGAGUCACAGAGAGUAUUAGAUAAUAGCGUAUCUGUGAAUAUAGAUAAUAUCCAGAUACAAGGGUCUCCACAUGAAAGUAUAGAGGAUAGCAAGAAAUCACAGUAUGAAGAUGCUUUAGAAGUCCUCACUAGCUAUAAAUAUGAUACUUAUAAAAAUACUGAAAAAAAUAUAUCAGACUCAUUCAACAUUGUGGGUGACUGGCCUUCAUCGGAUUCUUUAGCUCAGAGACAGCGCAGAUCAAGAAUGCCAAAGGCUGGAUUAAAUGAACCAGACCCAGAAUGUGGAACUAAUGACGGUAUGUCGGAAAUAUCCUUAUACACAGCACAUGAGACCUGUUGUGGCACAAGCCCUGAAGAGCCAAAAACAUUGGGCAGCUCAACUCUAGGAUGUUCUGAAAUGCUACCCAAUGAAAUGGCCCAUGAGAAUCAGGCUUGUCUAAGUAAAAAGAUCGAUGGACAAGACACGUUACCUCUUAUUUUUGCCAGUAAUGCUCUAACUAUUUCUGAAGUAGCAGAACCACAAAUUAUAGCUGAAUUUCCAGAGGGGAAACCUAGAAGAGUCCCUGGAACAGGAGUAGGUAUGUGUACCCAGACUGAACCACAGGAUUUUGCUCUCUUAUGGAAAAUAGAAAAGAAUAAAAUUAGUGUUUCAGAUUCUGUCAGAGUAUUAACAGGAAGAUUAAAUGGAUUUAAACCAAAAGCUUUCAAUAUUAACACCAAAUCAGAUGCUCAAGAAACAAUUCCAUAUAGGAUAAUGUAUGAUAAAAGCACAUAUGUUGAAGAAAGUGAGCUUACUAGUGCUGAUGAAUCUGAAAGUCUUAAUAUUCUUUGUAAAUUAUUUGCAUCCCUUUCAUCAGAAGCCCUAAAAGACCUAUAUGAGAGGUGUAACAAAGAUAUUAUUUGGGCCACAAGUCUUUUGUUGGAUUCUGAAAUGAAAUUAUGUGAGGAUACUGAAUCUGAGAAUUUCCAGAAAUCAUACGAUGAAUCACAAAUUGUGCCAAAUUCUCAGGGUUUGAAUUCAAAGGAGAUUAUUAGUCAGAGAGAGACUUUGGAGAAUUCUAAUUCUUCUGUUCCAGAAUUUAGCCAGGGGCUUGGUAUCAGUAACACAAAUGCACAGCCUACCUGUGAUGUGGUAAAGGGAAAUUCAGAGCAGGCAGGAACAAGAGCUGUAACUCCUGAAGAACCUGGGUUAAUAACAAGUAUAUUACCUAAUGCUGCUGUAGAUCUCAAGAAUACUAAUGAACCACUUCCUAAUAGUCAGGCAGAGCUUUCAGGUUUAUACAGCAUUAAGCAGUCUUUCCCAGGUACUCUAAAAGCUGCCACCCCUACAGACCUGAGUGAAAUGAAGAAUUUAGUAGCAACAGAGACUGGCGACAAUAUACAUUCUUCUUUGAAUGUGUCUGAUAUUUUAGACUCUGUAUCAAGCAUUUCAAAUCUUGAAUUCAAUGAGGAAAUUCAUUUUAUUGACCCUUCUGAAGUAAAGAACAACGAAAGUCUUCCAAAGGACUAUGCAAAAUUUCAUAUUAACACAGACGAUUUUAUGAAUGAAGAUGAACAGGAAAUGGAGAAAAUUCUAAUGGCAGGGAGCAGUUUGCCAGUGGGAGGUAGUGAAGAAUAUAAAGCUGAGUUGCUGAAUCCCACACCAGUGACGGCCAAAUCUCUGACCAUAGACUGUCUGGAAUUGGCAUUACCCCCUGAACUGGCUUUUCAGCUCAGUGAAUUAUUUGGUCCUGUUGGCAUUGAUUCAGGGUCUCUAACAGUUGAGGAUUGUGUGGUUCAUAUAGAUCUGAAUCUGGCUAAAGUGAUUCAUGAAAAAUGGAAGGAAUCUGUAAUGGAACGACAAAGACAAGAAGAAGUCUCCUGUGGCAAGCUUAUGCAAGAUCCUUCCCUGGUUGGGCAAAUUGGUCUCAAUAAUCCUGAACAAAAAUCAUCUCACAGAACAGGCAAAAAAUUACUGAAGACUUUAGCAGUGCCUGAAAUGCUGCCAUUAUUUGAUCACUGGAACACUCAAACUAAAAAAGUAUCACUCAGAGAAAUAAUGUCAGAAGAAAUUGCCUUACAGGAAAAAUUUGAUUUGAAAAAGGAGCCACUUAUGUUUGAAAAAGAUUGUGCCACCAAACUAAAAGAGAAGCAGCUGUUCAAGAUAUUUCCAGCCAUUAACCAAAAUUUUUUGGUGGACAUUUUCAAGGACCACAACUAUUCUUUAGAACAGACAGUGCAAUUUUUAAACUGUGUUCUUGAAGGAGACCCUGUAAAAACAGUUGUAGCGCAAGAGUCUGUUUACCAAAAUGAGAAUGUCACUUCUCAUACUGUACUGAAGUCCAAAGAGAAGAAGGCAAAGAAAUGGAAAGAGACUGAAGAUACACCAGGAGAACUGUUUUUCCAAGAUUUUGAGUACCCAGAGUAUAAUGACUACAGGGCAGAGGCUUUCCUGCACCAACAGAAGAGGACAGAAUGCUAUAGCAAGGCAAAAGAAGCUUAUCGGAUGGGGAAAAAAAGUGUUGCCACUUUCUAUGCCCAGCAGGGCAGUCUCCAUGAGCAGAAGAUGAAAGAAGCCAAUCACCUUGCUGCCGUGGAGAUCUUUGAGAAAGUCAAUGCCUCCCUGCUGCCACAGAAUGUGUUAGACCUCCAUGGGCUGCAUGUGGAUGAAGCUAUACAACAUUUGAUGACUGUUUUACAGCAGAAAACUGAAGGUAGGACCAUGAAUUUAAGCAGAGUGGAGGUAAACCCUAUCUCUCUGUGAUUACUGGGAGAGGAAACCACAGUCAGGGAGGCAUUGCUCGCAUCAAACCAGCUGUCAUUAAAUACCUCACAAGCCAUAACUUCAGGUUCACCGAAAUUAAACCAGGGUGCUUGAAAGUCAUGCUAAAGUAAAAUAAACAUCCUUGACUUAGAAGGGUGAAGGUCUGUAGGUUAAAAUUAGUUUAUUUGCAGUAAUUCAGUCAGUUCUACUGUAAACAAGUAUUUUAUUAGAAAUAAUGUCCAGUUAUAAAACAGAAAAAAGAUGAUGUUUUUCAUAAUUCAAGAGAAGUUUAAUUUUUUACUGAAUCAAAUACCAAAUAUGUUGUCUGUUAAAAAUAUUAGAGAUUUUUUAUUGAUUACAAAAUGUCUAAAACAAUUAUCAGCUGCUGUUUUAAAGUUUAAAAUCCUGAUUCUUUCCUAGAGACAAUAUAUUAUCUUUGUAUUAAUUGUUGUUUGACAUUUAGUAAAAGGUCCUCAAGGGUUCUAUGAGAGAUAUUGAACAUGCUUUGAGACAUUGUUCAUGUUCUUCAAAGGCUUGUAUUAAAAAAACAAAAAACAAAAAAUAAUGAAUUAGCAGUUGUAGUAAAGAAAGGAGAUCUAACACAAACACUUGAAUACUUUUAUAUUUCAAUACAAAACACAUAAAAUUACCUUAUUUUAUCAUAUCCUUCAGGAAGAAAGACAUGCAGUUGUACUUCCUUCUGCUUUGUAUGUGAUCUUGAUUUCUUACCUUUUGUCCCUUGUCUGUGUGUGUGCAUUUUCUGGGAAGAAAAUUAGGUCUGAUAUUAUGAUGCAGUUUAAACCUUCCUUAGGCAGAAAAGUUUUCAGAAAAGAAGAAAUGAUUAGAUUUCUACCAAGCGUUGUUGCUUUUAGAGAACUGCUUCUAGAACUGCCUAAGCCUCCCCUUCUGUAUACAUGUAAUUUCUAAACAUAGUAGGUAAAAAUUCUAUUAAAACAAAGGUAGAAAAUACUUGAAAUAAUCAUAAAAGGAACCCUUACAAUUUAAAAGUGUUUUACUUUUUUUUUUUUUUUUUAAAAGCCAACUUUCUGACAGGAAACUUUCAUUGAUUUCUGUUGUUUGGUAAGCUAAUAUGUUCUGUUAGAAUGUAAAAUAUAAUUUCCUUUCCACAGUUUUAAUGUAUUAAGGCAUAAUUUUCCAGUAUGAAGCAAUGGCUUAAAUAAAGUAGACUUCAGAUAUGGAGAAUAUUUACAACAUAUAUAAUUUUAGCAAACAAUUUUGUUGCUUUUUUUUAAGUUUAAAAAGUCAUUUGGCUUAGGAAUUAUAGGAUUGAGCUGUUACUGAAAGAAUCCUGAAAUGCUAAUGGUUUCCCAAAAGAGCAAGUAUUUUAAUGAAAAUAAAACUCAAAAACAUAUGUUUUUAUAUAUCACAAAGGGCCUUAUUAGUGAAUUUUAUUUCCACAAAAAUAUAUUCUAAUUUUUAUUAUUUAGAAAUGGUUAGUGACUGGCAUCAAAUUAUUAUUCACAUUCUUAUAUUUGUAAUAAUUUAUUUUUCAAAAACUGACAAAAUGCCAGCAGUUCAGCAUAACUUUUAUAAUGUCUAAAAGAGUUGUAUACAUUAAAAAUAAAGCAAUUCCUUUCAAUAGCUUAUUAUAAAACUUUCCUAUGUAUAAAUUAAUGUGUAAGAGAUGUGAAUCAUGGUACUAAAAACUGAUUAUUGGAGCAUAUACAGCUAUAUACUCAUUUUCUGUGUUUUUAUAUUUCCUACUCAGUUUUGUUUUUUUUUUAUUUUGCUUUUUAGCGCAUCAGCUAGACUUAUUUCAAUAGAUAAUUAAUGAGGGAGCAGUCAAAAAAAGCAGAGGUGAGGUAUCUGUGGGUAGAAACCCAAUGAAAGAAGCCAUGUUUUAUACUGUAUCAACUUUAAUUUUAGGCCUUAUUUUGUUAUACCUGGUGGUAUUUCUUCUUAAUCAUUAUUCAUAAAUGUGCAGGCAAAUUUUGAGCAUCAUAUAUGUUUUUAAGAAAGUUUAAUCUUAAAUUGCCUCCUACCCCACCACCUAGCCUAGUUUAAGCUAUACCUAAUUAUGUAAAAAAAUUUUAUAAUCCCUCCUUUCUUCCUUUGCCCAUUUCUCAAUACUAUAUGCCAAAUGUAAAGAUAGUUUGGGAUUAUCAAAGUUUUCAUGUGUUGCUGUAUUUAUGCCAACAUAUGCCUCAUUAGAAUGGUUCUCUAUAAAUUGAAUUGAUGUUUUAAAAUAUUUCAAAAGUACAGCACUUUUGUACUUUGAAAGGUUGUAGUAGUAAUUGUAUUCUUUCAAUAGUCUCUUACCAAUGCUACCAGGAAAGGAGAACUGAUGUGGAAACCACUGGGGUUGGAGGCUGGGUGGGACUCUUAACAGUAUUUUUAAGCCGUCCAUCUCCUUACUCCAAUGUGAAAAAUAGAAGCAUGUUUUCUUACAUUCAUUGGUGGUUCAUGCACCUCUAUAUUAUUUUUCAAGUUGAAGUUUCUUUAAUUUAUUAAUGUUUCUAUACUAUUUGCAGUUCCAUGGGCUUUAAUUUUAGGAAAUAUUAUAGAGAUCCUGACUCGCCUUGAAGAACUUUGUGUAUUAUAAUACAUUCUGAGAAAAAAAGCUGAACUCUUCUUUUAGAUGGUUUCCACUCUUAUUUUGGUCCUUCUCUUCUUGAAUUCAUGUGUUUUGUUUGCUUAGAAAAAAGGACAUGAGAUUGGUUAUUUCUGAGCUGGAAAUUGGAAACUUUGAAACUCAGGAAAUUGCUCUGACAAUGUUUAACUGUGCUAGAUUUAAGAAAAUGAGAAGAUGUGUAAAAAAAGACACAAAAAUAAUGUGUGCUGUUUCUUCCAAGUGCUUUUUCUAAGUGCUUUUCCAUUGUGCUAUGAGGUGAAGUUUGGUAAUUUUCUGUGUAUUGGUUAAAUAUUGUCUAUUUUUACUUAUGUGGUAAAGAAAACAGAUUUAAAUGUUUAUUUGGCAAAAAAAAAGUGUCAUUUAAAAGCGUUAGUUUAUGUAGAAUGUACAUUAAUGGUGCUUAUUUUUAAAAUGUAAUUCAAGUUUACAGUAUUACUUAAUGCCUCUUUACAGAAUUUAAUAGAGAAUCAAGGCUAGAAAACAUCUAUAUCUUGAAGAGCCUUUUACAGCUUCAUGGUAUAUGAUGACAAAUUUUAUUAUUAUUCUCCUUAAAAUUGAGCAAUCAAUUCUUAUGGUCCAAAUGAUGAAUCUGUUAUUAAUAAGCGAUUGAAUUAACCGUAAGACUUGUCUUUAAAGUACAAUAUUGCAGCUAUCAGUUGGAGAAUAUAUAAUAAAAUUUUCAGACAGUAUAUAAAACAAAAUGUUUUAUUUGUACUCUAAAGAAAAUGUAAUUUUGCUGUUAAUUCUGUACUUUUUUAUUGAAAAAUUUUUAUAACUUUGCUUUUAAAAUUUCUUAUAAAAACAUUUACAAAUUACAUACUUAGUUUAAUAAAAUACUUUAGCCACAAUCCAGUGUGAAGAAAUCCUUCAUUUGAUGUGGUAGGGUUAGUGGUUUAAAUUUAAAAUGUAUUUUUAUGUAUAACUUUGUUAGUUCAGGGGAAAAGGGUCAUAAAAAUUUCAUUUCUGUACCAUAACUUUACUUCUAGUUUAAAUUGUUCUGCUGCAGCAAAUAAGGGUCUACUUUUGAAUCAGAUAAAGGGAGUAGCCAUGGUUUCUCUAUUCACACCGUUGUAUCUUUUGACUGACAUAAAAAAUUAAGAAUUGUGCCUCUUUGGGGGCUCAGGUUGUACUUUAAUUAACAUUAAGGACCUUUGAACUUUAUUCAGCUUCAAAGCAGAAUAGUAUACUCAUUUAGCAAGAUCUUUAAAAUAUUUAUUCAACAAAUAUUCAUUGAGACAUUAUUACUGGGGAUACAACAUAAGUGAGACAGUCACAUCUUCUGUCCACAGGUAUUUUCGAAUUAUUCUUAUAAAUACAUAUUAUUUGAAGAGUGAUUUAUAGCUUACAGAACACUUUCAUAUAUGUUAUAUUUUAAGUCUAAUGAGAAUCUUAUAUAGGCAGUGCUAUCCCAAAUUAACGAAUAAGACUCAAACCUAGGUUCCCUGACUCCUGUGUAGGGCAACUGCAUCUGUCAUAAGAAUAAGAAUAAUUAUCUAUAUCUUAAUAUCACCCCUAGGUGGUUAUGGCUCCAAAAUAUUUAUCUCUGAAAAUCUGCCAUUUAUAAAUCUGUCUUCCUCCUUUAUCCGAAUUUGGAAAAGACCCAAAGAAAAGAUAACAAUUUUUUUCUCUCAAUAUAUAAAUCAACAGAAGAGAGUUUAGGACUGAUGUAAUUGUUCUUCUCCAUGAAGCUUUGGGGAAAUCUACAAGUUUACCUCUUUGUCAUACCCAGGGUAUGGCCAUCAUUUUCCUGGACCAGGAUGGUUGGCCAGAGCUCUAGCCAUCACAUCUACAUUCUAUUGGAGAAAGGACAAAGACGAAGGGACCAAAGGGCAAGCGCCAGCUGCCUUUUAUAAGAAGAUUCCUGAAAGUGGCCAUAGGACCCUUCUGCUUACAUCCUGUUGCCCAGGACUUAGUCAUGUGGUCACAUCUAGCUUCAAGGGAGCCUGGAAGUUUUGUCUUUAUUUUGGGUAGCCAUAUGUUCAGCCAAAAUGUGGGUUGGAAAGAGAAUGGUUAUUGGGGAAAUGAACAGCAGUCUCUGCCAUGUGACUUUUGAUACAUGCAGAUAACGUGAAAGUUAAUUCUUGAUACAUUCCUUCAGUAGAUCUUUAUUGAUGGCUACCAUGUUCUAGGAAUAAUAAAAUAAUAAAAAGGAAACCAUAGUAUCUAUGUGUUUUAAAUUAAAUAUUGAAAUAUUAUUGCAAUCAACAUGACUGAUGAAACUGACCUUCAGUUGAUAACAUAACUGCUAAUAGGACCACUUUUGACCUGACGACUUAGUUGUCACAGCUAAAUUAGGUAUGAAAAUGCUUUCUUGUGAUACUGCUUAGUUAAUGUAUUUGCACAUUGACUUUUGUGUUUUCAAAUAUUAAGCAUAUCUGUGUAAAAA